UUUCGGUUGAUCCUGCCGGACCUGACUGCUAUCGGAUUGGUACUAAGCCAUGUGAGUCGUUGCAGCAAUGCAAGGCAGACGGCUCCAGUAACACGUAGUCAACCUAACCUAUGGACGGGGAAUAACCUCGGGAAACUGAGAAUAAUACCCGAUAGACCAUGAUACCUGGAACGGUUUAUGGUUCAAAUGAUUUAUCGCCCAUAGGAUGGGACUGCGGUCUAUCAGCUUGUUGGUGAGGUAAUGGCCCACCCAAGGCUAUAAACAGAUACGGGCUCUUGAGAGGAGGGGCCCCGGAGAUGGGUACUGAGACACGGACCCAGGUCCUAUGGGGCGCAGCAGGCGAGAAACCUUUGCAAUGUGCGAAAGCACGACAAGGUUAGUCCGAGUGAUUCCUGCUAAAGGAAUCUUUUGUUAGUCAUAAAACCACUGAUGAAUAAGGGGUGGGCAAGUUCUGGUGUCAGCCGCCGCGGUAAUACCAGCACCUCGAGUGGUCAGGAGGUUUAUUGGCCCUAAAGCAUCCGUAGCCGGCUGCUCAAGUUUCCGGUUAAAUCCACACGCUUAACGUAUGGGCUGCCGGAAAUACUGUUCAGCUAGGGGAGUGGGAGAGGUAGACGGUACUCGGUAGGAAGGGGUAAAAUCCUUUUGAUCUAUUUGAUGACCACCCUGUGGCGAAGGCGGUCUACCAGAACACGUUCGACGGUGAGGGAUGAAAAGCUGGGGGAGCAAACCGGAAUUAGAUACCCGGGUAGACCCAGCUGUAAACGAUGCAGACUCGGUGAUGCAUUGGCUUAUGGCCAGUGCAGUGCCGCAGGGAAGCCGUUAAGUUUGCCGCCUGGGAAGUCGUACGCAAGUAUGAAACUUAAAGGAAUUGGCGGGGGAGGGCCACAAGGGGUGAAGCCUGCGGUUCAAUGGAGUCAACGCCGG
rnacentral:rRNA from 1 species